UACGUAGGGAGCAAGCGUUGUUCGGAAUUACUGGGCGUAAAGGGUGUGUAGGUGGGUAUGCAAGCCCUUAGUGAAAUCCUCCGGCUCAACCGGAGAACUGCUUGGGGAACUGCUUAUCUUGAGUACAGGAGAAGAGAGUGGAAUUCUCGGUGUAGCGGUGAAAUGCGUAGAUAUCGAGAAGAACACCUGCGGUGAAAGCGACUCUCUAUCCUGACACUGACACUGAAACACGAAAGCUAGGGUAGCAAAUGGGAUUAGAUACCCCCGUA
rnacentral:rRNA from 1 species